ACUCCGUCUACGUGUACAAGGUC
rnacentral:piRNA from 1 species